CGUAGGCGGCUAGGUAAGUCCGACGUGAAAUCUGGAGGCUCAACCUCCAGCGGUCGUUGGAAACUACUUGGCUAGAGUCCGGAAGAGGAGAGUGGAAUUCCUGGUGUAGCGGUGAAAUGCGCAGAUAUCAGGAAGAACACCGAUGGCGAAAGCAGCUCUCUGGGACGGUACUGACGCUGAGGCGCGAAAGCGUGGGGAGCGAACA
rnacentral:rRNA from 1 species